UACGUAGGGGGCAAGCGUUGUCCGGAAUUAUUGGGCGUAAAGCGCGCGCAGGCGGCAGGGAAAGUCUUGUGUCAAAGACCGGAGCUCAACUCCGGGUUGCAUGGGAAACUGCCCCGCUUGAGUGUAGGAGAGGAAAGUGGAAUUCCACGUGUAGCGGUGAAAUGCGUAGAUAUGUGGAGGAACACCAGUGGCGAAGGCGACUUUCUGGCCUAUAACUGACGCUGAGGCGCGAAAGCGUGGGGAGCAAACGGG
rnacentral:rRNA from 1 species